rnacentral:lncRNA from 1 species
UGUAAUAUGAUGUUCAGGUCUCACGUGACGUAGGUUAUCCGGCAUUGAGACAGACCACAUACGUGGCGUUGGUUGUACCGGCGUAUGGGAAGAUUAUGUGAUAUUGUGUUGAGGUCGCACGUGGCGUAGGUUAUCCGGCGUGUCGACAGACCCCAUACGUGGCGUUGGUUGUAUCGGCGUAUGGGGAGAUAUGUGAUAUGAUGUGCAGGUCUCGUGUGGCGUAGGUUAUCCGGCGUUGAGACAGACCCCAUACGUGGCGUUGGUUGUACCGGCGUAUGGGGAGAUAUUAUGAUAGUAUGGCAUGGUCGCAUGUGGCGUAGGUUAUCCGGCGUGUUGAC